CCCUGAAAUAUUGGAACACUGCUAUCAUGUCUCCCCUAGUCCUUCUUUUCAUUAAACUAGACAUACCCAGUUCCUGCAACCGUUCUUCAUAUGUUUUAGCCUCCAGUCCUCUAAUCAUCUUUGUUGCUCUUCUCUGCACUCUUUCUAGAGUCUCAACAUCUUUUUUACAUCGUGGAGACCAAAACUGGAUGCAAUAUUCCAAGUGUGGCCUUACCAAGGCAUUAUAAAGUGGCACUAACACUUCACGUGAUCUUGAUUUUAUCCCUCUGUUUAUGCAGCCCAGAACUGUGUUGGCUUUUUUAGCAGCUGCUGCACACUGCUGGCUCAUAUCUAAAUGGUUAUCCACUAGGACUCCAAGAUCCCUCUCACAGGUACUACUAUUGAGCAAGGUACCACAUAUACGGUACCGGUGCAUUUUGUUUUUUUUGCCUAAAUGUAGAAUCUUACUUUUUUCACUGUUGAAUUUCAUUUUGUUAGAUAGCGCCCAAUGUUCAAGUUUGUCAAGAUCUUUCUGUAAUUUGAGCCUAUCUUCUGGAGUGUUGGCUAUUCCUGCCAGCUUGGUGUCAUCUGCAAAUUUGAUGAGUUCCCCAUCUAUCCCCUCGUCCAAGUCAUUGAUGAAGAUGUUGAAGAGUACUGGGCCUAAAACAGAGCCUUGGGGUACUCCACUGCAUACUUCAUACUGCAUACUUCCACUGCAUACUUCCCUGUAAUUUGACUGCGAUUAGUUAUUAGUUAAAAUUUUAUCCAAAGUAUCGUGAGACUUCUCCAAAUUUGUGGGUUGCUGCACGGAGCAAAACUACAGCAAGUUUUGCCAAUAGUCAUGCUUUAUUUGUGCCAGCUGAUCAAGUCUGUAAAAUGUUGGCAAUCCCUACCACCAGUCGCUGACAACCAUUCUGGGGCUUAUAGCCCACAAUUUGAGACCAUGGCUAUAAAUCAUGGUUAAAGCAAACCAUUGCUUUUGUAUGAAACUCCCCUGCCUGCCUGCUUAAUUCUCCCCCUGUCUACGACCAGCUCUGUCUGCUCCAACUUCAGCUGUGUAAAAAGGGAUUCACGCUUGCCAGCUGCACAACCAAGUGGUUUUCUGCAUGACUGCCAAGUCUAGUCACACUCUGGGAAUUCCAAGGAAAAGUCAGACGGUUGUUUCAUCUCCCAUUCCGCUGAAACAGAGUAGCUUUGAUUAUUUCAAGCCCCAAACCUUUGUUUCAAAAACCCAUCUUGCGUUGUUUUUUUUAAGCACCCGGACAUCCUGCGUUGUACACAUUAGUUCAAAGAGUUAGUUGGUUUGCACCACAGGAUACUGUUAUUUUUCUUUCUGAGACCACCACUGAAAAACCCCAUGUUGCACAGACUACAUAUCCCAGAAGCCUUCCCAAAGUGUAUUAAUGACCUGUGUUUUUUAAUCAUUGCUUACAGCUGAAUGAAAACGCUUUUGCAGAAACAGUUCUAUCAGACUGUGCUCACAGAACAUGUAAAGUGGAAGACCUCUUUCUCACAACACACAGUAUUCUGUCUCCUUCCCCACUUCAGACCCACGAGCUGGCCUUCAGCCAGUGGAUUCAUGGCUCUUAUCAGUCCUGGCAGAGAAAUCGCAGCUGCCUGCCAAAGUUCAAACAAAUGACUCACGUAGCAAGACUUUCAGCUCUUUUUGAAACCGAUCAGCUAAACUUUGCUUCCCGUGGAGUGAGAGCAGUCCCAAAGCUCCUUAUAUAUCCUGUGGAGCCCCACCCUUCCUUUUGAUGACGCCGCCUCUCUAAUCUUCUGAAGCGCGGGUCGAUCCAAGCUUGAUUAUUAUUAUCAGCUGGGUCUGAAGACGUAGCCUGGGGAAGGGAGGAAUCAGGGGAUGACAGCCUCAUUACGUCCUCCGAUUGGUCUGGUUCUGGCUCCUGGAGCCGAGCCAAAGGAAUCCGUGCUCCCGAGAUCUUCAGAUCUUUACCGGCUUCCUGGAAUUUCUUCAGCAGAGGUUCACCUGCUCGAACAGGAAAAGUCAAGGGGCACUUCUGAUAGUACUGUGAGUCCAGCUCCAGAUGAUACAUCACAUCGGAAAGCAGGAGGGCCCGUUCCACAGAGCAUCCCGGUGCAUCGUAGCUCAGGGCCGUGAAGUGCACAUGGAAGUGGAAAUAGGAUGGCUGAAGGAACAUAAGAGAGAGAAUAAUUAUGUGGUUGUGUGUCCUUUUGGUUGCCCAUCCUGGAAACUACAUUUCAAACCGGAUAAUCUUUGGCCUGACGCAACAGCUACUGAAAUAGUAAGCGGAGGGUUGUUGUUUUUUAAAUAACUCUGCUACCUGAGCACAUCAUUGUGACUAACACUCAUCCUGGACUCUGAUAAGAAUCAGAAUUGCUCUCAUUAAGAAAGAUAAUCCUUUGCAGUAGAUUUUCCCAGCCUGGUGCAUUUUGGGUAUGUUGGCCCUAAAUUCCUCACCAGCACUGGUUGUUGGAGAGAAUCUACUCAUUGUGAACUGAUAGCUCUUGCUUGUUUCUCAGGACUUCAAUCUACUCCUAACUACGUGCGAGCAUUGUACAGAAAUGUCAUCGACUCUCCUUCCAUUUCUUAGCGUUUGAACCCAAUUGUAUUAGUUUUUCUCCUCCCAUCUGUUCUGGUGUUUGCUUAUUUGCCAACUGCCGAUCAAAUUAAAUAUAGGCGGUUAAGUGCUUUGGAAACUUUUAGGCAUGGUUUCCGAAGCAGCUCAAGGAGAACAAUUGGCUAGCUCUCACAUCUCCUCCUCAAACCACAACAUUACGCUUUUGCAACCUAUUGUGGUUACUAUGGCAGUUGCACUGAACUCAAGGGUCUCUGGUGGCUCAGACUGCUAAGACAGUCUGUUAUUAACACAGCUACUUGCAAUUACUGCAGGUUCAAGUCCCACCAGGCCCAAGGUUGACUCAGCCUUCCAUCCUUUAUAAGGUAGGUAAAAUGAGGACCCAGAUUGUUGGGGGCAAUAAGCUGACUUUGUAUAUAAUAUACAAAUGGAUGAAGACUAUUGCUUAACAUAGUGUAAGCCGCCCUGAGUUUUCGGAGAAGGGUGAGAUAUAAAUGCAAAUAAAAAAAAAGGGUCUACCACAGGUACGUGUGCAACAGGAACGUUUUUGCAAAGCAGAUCUGUGCACCUCAACGGGGGCCUGCAGAGCUGACAAGGAGGGGCAAAAUUGCAGCUGCCCAUAGGCUUCCCCCAGAUUUUCCACUUGGGCCCAUGCUCGCCGGGCACAAUGCCAUCCCAUUUCUGAAAAGACCUCUCUGCAACAUCUGGUCCCGAAGAGACGCAUUUCAUUUUGCCAGUUCUGCCUGGCAUCGGCCAAUUCAUCACAAGGGGAAAAUAACUUGUGCCCAGAAGACGACAAGGAAGAGGCAGGGGACAGCUUUUUUAUUUUAUUUAUUUAUAUCCCGCCCUUCUCCAAAGACUCAGGGCGGCUUACAUUGUGUAAGGCAAUAGUCUCAUCCAUUUGUAUAUUGUAUACAAAGUCAACUUGUAUUGCCCCCCCAAUAAUCUGGGUCCUCAUUUUACCUACCUUAUAAAGGAUGGAAGGCUGAGUCAACCUUGGGCCUGGUGGGGACUCGAACUUGUAGUAAUUGUAAUUGCAGGCAGGUGUGUUAAUAACAGACUGCAUUAGCCUGUUGAGCCACAAGAGGCCUUUGUGAGGGAAGGUGAGGGAAGAGGUGCAGACGAUCGACCAACAAAGGAGUUGCGAUAAAGUGACAAGAUGCCCCAUAAGCAACGAGUGAAGUCGAAUAAAUUCAACAUGAAAACUCCACAAUAAAUUUAUACAGACGGCAUACAUCCUCUGGCCUGCCAGACUCAGCUUGGCCAUGCUGAUCUAAUAAGAGGCAUGUCUGUUGCUGUCAUGAAACAUUUCCUCAGAAUUUCAUCGGAAAUGACUAAGCAUUUAGAGGGAAGAGAGAUAGGAUUUUCUCCUCCACGCCCUGGAAUUUCCCUUUCAUGAACCCGGACUGGGUGUCAACCAGGAGCUAAUUCAUCUCUACCCAAAAGGAGAGGAUUGACCUGACGUUGUACUGCUUAUGUGUACAUGUAGGUAGGGGUAAAACAAGUCAUGGUUUUUAUUUAAAAAAAACAAGGCAAAAGGAAUCUAUUUUGAAAGAUUUAUAAAAGGGUAACGCACCUGAGGGUGAAGAAAACACACCGCUGAUAUUCAUCACUGUCUUUCUGGUUAAAAACUUUUAAA